AUUGAACGCUGGCGGCAUGCCUUACACAUGCAAGUCGAACGGCAGCACGGGUGCUUGCACCUGGUGGCGAGUGGCGAACGGGUGAGUAAUACAUCGGAACAUGUCCUGUAGUGGGGGAUAGCCCGGCGAAAGCCGGAUUAAUACCGCAUACGAACUACGGAUGAAAGCGGGGGACCUUCGGGCCUCGCGCUAUAGGGUUGGCCGAUGGCUGAUUAGCUAGUUGGUGGGGUAAAGGCCUACCAAGGCGACGAUCAGUAGCUGGUCUGAGAGGGCGACCAGCCACACUGGGACUGAGACACGGCCCAGACUCCUACGGGAGGCAGCAGUGGGGAAUUUUGGACAAUGGGCGAAAGCCUGAUCCAGCAAUGCCGCGUGUGUGAAGAAGGCCUUCGGGUUGUAAAGCACUUUUGUCCGGAAAGAAAUCCUUGGCCCUAAUACGGUCGGGGGAUGACGGUACCGGAAGAAUAAGCACCGGCUAACUACGUG
rnacentral:rRNA from 1 species